UCAGGGUUCCCUGCUAGAUUUUAUCAAAGGCAUUGGGGUACUAUGAAAAAUGAGGUGAUCAAGGCAGUAAAAGAGUUCUUUAGUUCGGGCUUCAUGCCUGAAGGAGUCAAUAAUACUGUUAUAGUGUUAAUACUGAAGAAGGAAAACCCGAGCUCCGUAAAAGACUAUAGACCUAUCAGCCUAUGCAAUGUAGUGUAUAAAAUUGCUUCAAAAUGUUUGGUUAACAGAUUUCGACCACUGCUCCAUGAGUUGAUAGCCCCAGCGCAAAGUGCCUCCAUUCAAGGGCAAACGAUUACGGACAACGCUCUGAUUGCAUUUGAAUGUAUCCAUAGCAUCCAAAAAAGUUCUGAUGCAAAGGGAAAAAUUUGCGCAUACAAAUUAGACCUCGCAAAGGCCUAUGAAAGAGUUGACUAGAAAUAUCUAGAAGGGGCGAUGAGAAGAUUAGGUUUUGCUGAUAAAUGGAUACAAUGGAUCAUGACGUGUGUCAAAACAGUGAAUUAUUCUGUCCGCUUCAACGAGAACCUGUUGAAGAGCUUCACUCCUGCAUGUGGUUUAAGACAGGGAGAUCCACUUUCCCCUUAUUUUCUCUUUGUCGCUGAUGGGCUCUCACGUCUAAUACAUAGUAAGGUGGAAGCUGGUGAAAUACAGGAGCUGCAAAUUUGUCGACAAAACCCUAGCAUUUCACAUCUUCUAUUUGCGGAUGACAACCUGUUAUUUUUUAAGGCAAACAGUGAUCAAGCCAAUAAGGUGAAGAACAUCCUGAACAACUAUGAGAGAGCCACUGGACAGCUAAUCAGUCCAUCUAAAUGCUCCCUGCUCCUUUGUAACGCAUGAUCACAAGAGGAUGGUCAGGAAGUAAUAAAUAUCCUGAAUGUAGUGACGGUGAGUUUUGAGGAGAAAUACUUGGGCUUGCUGGUUCCAGAAGGACGUAUGAUAAAAGAGAAAUUCAAACAAACAAAGAUAAAGCGACAAAUGAAUGAUUGCACCGAAAAAUAUUCUUCUAGUGGAGCCAAGGAGACACUAAUUAAACCAGUGGUUCAAGCGAUCCCCACCUUUGCAAUGAGUGUUUUCAAGUUCUCAACAAUCCUUCGUGAGGAGCUCAUGCACAUGUCCAAGGAGUUUUGGUGGGGAGAUGAUAAAGAUCGCCGACAGAUCCACUGGUCGAGUUGGGAGAAACUUACAAAACGAAAAAGCCAAGGAGGUAUGGGAUUCAAAGACCUUAAAGUUUUUAACCAGGCUCUCCUCGCUAGGCAAGCUUGGCGACUUAUUGCACAUCCCGACAGCUUGUGCACGAGAGUACUUAAGGCAAAAUACUACCAUGGGGCUGAUCUGCUAGACAUGAUGUUUAUUCACAAUGCUCGCCGGGUUGGCAGGGCGUCAUGCAUGGUUUGGAAAUCCUUAAAAAAAGGAUGUAUCUGGCGCAUCUGCAAUGCAAAUAGUGUCCGCAUUUGGAGAGAUAAUUGGAUCCCGAGAGGAAACAUGAAAGUAAACACAAAUCCGACAAACUCCCGAACCUGUUGGGUAGCGGACCUCAUCGAUCAGGAGAGUCACUCCUGGAAGGAAGAUAAUAUCAGGCAUAUAUUUACACGCAAAGACGCAAAUGAUAUUUUGAGUAUCCGACUCCCAAAUUAUGAUGAAGAUGAUUAUAUUGCCUGGCAGCUAGAAAAGAACGGAAUUUUCACCAUUUGUACCACAUACCAGCUAGCCAUGGACGAAAGUAAUUUUGAGAUGAUUGGAUCCAGCCACAAUACCUCAGGGGAGAAGUAUUUGGAAUAA
rnacentral:rRNA from 1 species